UACCAGCUCUCCGAGUGGUGUGGAUGUUUAUUGGGCCUAAAGCAUCCGUAGCUGGCCAAGUUAGUCCCUUGUUAAACCCACCGAAUUAAUCGUUGGAUUGCGGGGGAUACUGCUCGGCUAGGGGACGAGAGAGGCAGACGGUAUUUUCGGGGUAGGGGUGAAAUCCUAUAAUCCCGGGAAGACCACCAGUGGCGAAGGCUGUCUGCUAGAACGCGCCCGACGGUGAGGGAUGAAAGCUGGGGGAGCGAAC
rnacentral:rRNA from 1 species